GGUGGGGAUUUAUAGUCAGUAAUCUAGAUUCUUAUUCUAGAUUCCAGCUUUGCAACCCAACUGCCUGGGUUCAAAUCCCAGCUCUGCCA
rnacentral:tRNA from 1 species